rnacentral:rRNA from 1 species
UGGGGAAUUUUGGACAAUGGGCGAAAGCCUGAUCCAGCAACGCCGCGUGUGUGAAGAAGGCCUUCGGGUUGUAAAGCACUUUUGUCCGGAAAGAAAUCCUUGGCUCUAAUACAGUCGGGGGAUGACGGUACCGGAAGAAUAAGCACCGGCUAACUACGUGCCAGCAGCCGCGGUAAUACGUAGGGUGCAAGCGUUAAUCGGAAUUACUGGGCGUAAAGCGUGCGCAGGCGGUUUGCUAAGACCGAUGUGAAAUCCCCGGGCUCAACCUGGGAACUGCAUUGGUGACUGGCAGGCUAGAGUAUGGCAGAGGGGGGUAGAAUUCCACGUGUAGCAGUGAAAUGCGUAGAGAUGUGGAGGAAUACCGAUGGCGAAGGCAGCCCCCUGGGCCAAUACUGACGCUCAUGCACGAAAGCGUGGGGAGCAAACAGGAUUAGAUACCCUGGUAGUCCCACGCCCCUAAACGAUGUCAACUAGUUGUUGGGGGAUUCAUUUCCUUAGUAACGUAGCUAACGCGUGAAGUUGACCGCCUGGGGGAGUACGGUCGCAAGAUUAAACUCAAUGAAUUGACGGGGUCAUAGCUGUUU